CGAACCAAAACUAAAAUGGACAGCCAUAAAUAGGGUCACGUAAAAGAGAAUAAACCCUGGAUCAAGUAAACAAUACACAUCUCGAGAAAAGAGUUACAGCAUACCAGUCAUAACAUCAGGCAAUGCCUCUGAAUCUUGUCAGGUAGUGAGAGCAUAGAUAUAGUUUUGACCAGUGUCAAAACUAGAUGGUGCACUUUUUAGUGCUGGAGC
rnacentral:lncRNA from 1 species